CUGCUUUAUCGAUUCCGUCAUCAGCUUCGUAGGGAUGCAGUGAACCAUCUUCUCCCCUUGAGCGACGCCUACAUACCCCCAGCCUCUCCCACUGCUAAAGACACGCACACACUUCGACACAGAAACAUGUAUGCACGUGCGUCCAUCUAUAUGCUCGUCUCUCUGGCCUGUCUUCUCUUUUUUCUCGAUAGGUGCGCCUUCACAUUGAACCAUUCCCCCUCUCUUGACACACUCUCCCCCUCUUUUUUCGGUUUAUUAGCGCUGCCUAUGGGCUUCGUGUUGUGUCGUGUCUCAGCUGGCUGACGGGUCCUCUUGCACCCCUGCCCCAUUCCUUCGACAUCUCCCACCCCCUGACGUGUGCGCGUGGUUGUGCGCGCGUGCGCGUCCACUUGAAAAGUAUGCAGCUUCGGUUGGGCGCAGCUUUACUUGUUUCUGUUUUCCCGGACCGCUACUUCAAUAGGCGGGGUGGCGCAUGCAGCCCAGACGUCGCGCGCGUCGACACAAAGACAGUCGGGCCCGCUGGGGCAGAAGGGUGCGUGCGCGCUGCGUCGCGAAUAAAGGAGCGCAGAAAGAGGUGCUGCUGCCGUGUCUCUCUCUAUUUGGUGAGCAGGGGUGGGAUGGCGCAGGUCUGAGUAAUGCACACUUCCUUCCUCUUUUUCUUUGGUCCUUGGUAAGUCUCGGGCGACUGUAUGAGGCCAUGCCGCAUUCAUCGUGCGCAUGUGUGCGCUGGUGCACGAGAUGCCAUCUCUUGUGUUUUGCACCUAUAUGUGUUUCUCUGCUACUCUCGCUAGGACUGCAGUGGCAUGUCCGACUCUGGCGCGCAUGCGCAGCAUGACCUCUCCGUGUCCUUUGCGCUUUAUUUAUUUUCUUCGUGGCUUCUCCUACCUGCCUCCCUCUCCAUCUCUCUCUCUUUCGUCCGCCUUUUCCUUCGUCUCUUUUCCCUGGCAUACGCCUCUACGGCACUGGAUGAAG
rnacentral:misc_RNA from 1 species